UACGGAGGGCGCAAGCGUUGUUCGGAAUCACUGGGCGUAAAGCGCGUGUAGGCGGCUUGGCAAGUCGGGUGUGAAAGCCCGGGGCCUAACCCCGGAACUGCAUUCGAAACUGCCUCGCUCGAGUCCCGGAGAGGAUGGUGGAAUUCCCGGUGUAGUGGUGAAAUACGUAGAUAUCGGGAGGAACACCAGCGGCGAAGGCGGCCAUCUGGACGGUGACUGACGCUGAGAAGCGAAAGCGUGGGGAGCAAACAGG
rnacentral:rRNA from 1 species